GCAUAGAAAUAGUUCUUUAAAAAAUUGGAAGUGCUAUUCCAGCGAACACGCAGAUGAUAAGAAAGUAAAACAGCCAGUAACCCAUGCCAGAGCAAACUGUGUCCCCAAACCAUUGCCUGGCCUCUGUGCCCAUAGGCUGCUGGCACUGAAGUGGCUUGCACAGUG
ensembl:snoRNA